CAGAAGCCUUCAGGGCAUGUGGCUUUGUAUUUGUUUCUGUGGAGAGUGUGGAGAUUGCCUGAAGUCAGAGAGUUCGCCACAAGGAUAACCAGCUUUUCACAUGAAUUCAGCUUUCAUUCAGAAAUCAAAGUCGAUCUUAGUUGUAUAGAUUGGUUUCCCCUGAGGUGGCCUACUCAGACUAGGUAAUGGAAGAGAGCUUAGCAAAAAUGGCUGCCUUUGAAGAGGUGGCCAGAGACAGGGGGUGAUCAACAGGUAGAGGUGAAGAAUCAGACAACUGGCAACAGUAAGAGCUGUUGCGCCCUGGGAAGUCAGUGCUACAACUGAGGGCUGGACCUGGAGCCACAGACUGGCAGUCACUGGGAGAUGGCUGUCAGGAGUGUCCCAGAGACAAACGCUCUGACCUCUCCUUCCUCUCACCCUCUGCUGCUCCCUCUCAUUGACCAAACCCAAUCGGAAGCCAAAGGAAAAGAGACAAAGGACGUGUCAACAACCCAAGAUAAACAAUAGUCAGGAAAGGAUGAGACAUUGGUCCAGAGGAAUAAUUCAAAACAAACAAACAAACAAACAAACAAACAAUUAACAACAACAAAAUCCAAGAUGUCAUAGAAGCUGGGCCCAGUGACAUGAGAACUGCUCUCCUGAGAAGUGCCUGUAAUAGUUGGAUUGGCAUUUCUAUUCCACAGAACAGUAUCCAACCUCAUCUUUCUGGUGGAGUUGCGGAACCUUCAUUGAGAAUCUUGCAGUAUUAGAAUCUCAGUCUCCCAGCUGUUGGGAGUGCCUGGGUCUCAGAGGUCUCCUGAAGUGUGGGUGACAUUUCUUGGCACCUUGUGUCCCUACCAUGCUGGGCUCUCCUCUUCGUUUGAGUUUACCCUCAGAACUGCCCCUUGAGUGCUGGUUUAUCCUCAUGGCUGCUGUGUCUUGUGAGAACUGGAAAGUCAAAUAUUCCUGAUGAGUCCUAAGAUGUGAUGAUCUGAGACCCCACAAGCAUUGCUACAGCUCCCAGCUCAGAAGCCCACCAUCAUGUACACAUGCCCCUGGAGUUUUGUCCUGUUCUGUGGCCUCCAUCUGUGUCCAAAUAAAUAUGCCCAACUCUAUAAGAAAUAGGAAAAUCAUCUACUUGACCAAAAAACCAAACAAACAAACAAAAAUGCCCACCGGUGGGCAUUUUAAAGCAGGUGCCCUUGAUUUCUGCUUAAGUGAACCGGAAUGUUCUUGUUGCAUAGCUGGUUUGCUCUGUGGUUAACAUUGGAGGAGAUGGUUUCCUGUUCACGAUAAAUGUGUGGUUAAGAUUUGUCAACCCAAAUUUGAUCUUGGCCUUAAUUAUUAAGUAGCACAUUUCCCUCUGCUUACAAAAAAAAAAAAAUCUCACCCUAAUCUUUUUUGCAAAUAGAACUCUAGUCAACUCACCUUGGUAUUGUUCGUGAGAACCACUGUGACAAUUUUGCUUGAAGCUGUCUGUUCCAGCCUCAGCUUGCAUAAGCAGAAAAACCCACAUUUCAAAGGCAGGGCAAAAGUGACUAAAUAGCAGGUUCUUACUUUUAACAGCAGUGCCAUGCAAGGUCCUGGCCCAUGGCUGCACUUUUUAAUAUGGACGAGCCUAGCUCCACUAUGUACAAAAAUGGAGGAGCAAAUGUCUAGUCUGCAGACUUGCUGCAGAAUUAAAUGGUUGUGAAUAUUUGAUACACUGCAAGUGGUUAUUGUGUUGUGGGACUGCACAACACUAAUGUGUAUGCUAUUCUUGGUCGUGUGGCACUCUUAACCUGUUCUGUUCCAUGGGUACCUUCAGACAGGAAGGUAAGAUUUGGAAAAGCUAGGCUACCUUUAACCCCAGCUUUGGAGCAUGGCUGUUAUUAAGACAAUGUGUUCUCUGGAGAGGCUGUUCCAAGAACUGUGCUCAACACCCAGAGACAAAGAUGACAGAGGAGCGUACCUUCUCCUAGGGGAGACAGGCCAAAUCCGUUCUAAGCAAGAGUCAAAAGGUGCUCUGGUUAAAUUUAGAAGCAAUUUGAAGGAAAGAAGAAAAACCUUUGCCAGGUUCAAAAAAAAGAGUAAUUACUCAAAUGGAGAAUAUAAGAUGAACAGUGAGCAAGUAAGGCAACUGUGGGCUUAUAGGAUAACUUAUGGGCCCACAGGAUAACCCAUGGGCUAUAGGAUAUUAUACCCCUGCUCUCCCUCCCCUGGAAGGCAACGAAUCUUGUAAUGCAUACUGUGU
rnacentral:lncRNA from 1 species